GUACGUGGGAUUAAAAGUGCCGUAUAAAAUGAGUUAAACAUUACAAUAGUUAAAGUAUCGUAUAAAAUGGAAACAUUACGGUAGAAAGAAUGACGUAAAGAAAAUGUUAUCUAUUACGGUACUUAAAGUACCGUAAUACUACUUCAAGUUAUUACGGCAUUUUAAUUACUGUAAUACUACUUCAAGUUAUUACGAUAUUUUAAUUAUCGUAAAACUUAAUAUGAAAAAUAUGGUAAAACAACUAUUGCGAAGGUUAUUUUCGUAAAAAAUACUCUGAAAAUGAAUAAAAAGGGUGUAAACGAGGUUUUUGAAAGUUGGGUUUUUUUUUUUCCAAUUAAGCAAAAAUAUAGGUAUAUUUGUGAUAAUUACCCUAUAAAAUUUAAAGCGUAAAAAAUAGUGCAGAUAGAGCAGAUCUAUAAAAACUUGAUAAUUUUAAAAAUUGACGAUCCAAAAAAUACACUACAAGAUGCA
rnacentral:lncRNA from 1 species